GGAGGGUGCAAGCGUUGUUCGGAAUUACUGGGCGUAAAGCGCGCGUAGGCGGGUUAUCAAGUCGAUUGUGAAAUCCCGGAGCUUAACUCCGGACGUGCAGUCGAAACUGGUAAUCUUGAAUACCUAAGAGGAUGGCGGAAUUCCCGGUGUAGGAGUGAAAUCCGUAGAUAUCGGGAGGAACACCCGAGGCGAAGGCGGCCAUCUGGUGGUGUAUUGACGCUGAGGCGCGAAAGCGUGGGGAGCAAACAGGAUUAGAUACCCUGGUAGUCCACGCCGUAAACGAUGAUUACUAGGUGCUCGAAGAACUAACUCUUUGGGUACCGUAGCUCACGCAUUAAGUAAUCCGCCUGGGGAGUACGGUCGCAAGGCUA
rnacentral:rRNA from 1 species